GCCUAAGGUACCAUACCACCCCGAACAUGCCCAAUUAUGUCUGAUCUUGGAAGCUAAUCAGGGUUGGGCCUGGUUAGUACUUGGAUGGGAGCAAAUUAUUGAUGCCCAGCUUCUUAAGCC
ensembl:rRNA 5S_rRNA 5S ribosomal RNA